GACGACGCUGGCGGCGUGGAUUAGGCAUGCAAGUCGAACGGUAUCAUCCUUCGGGGGUGAGAGAGUGGCGAACUGGUGAGUAACACGUAGGUUAUCUACCCUCAAGACGGGGACAACCCAGGGAAACUUGGGCUAAUACCGGAUGUGAGCAACUUUUAGUUGUUUGAAAGGUGGCGUAAGCUGUCGCUUGGGGAUGAGCCUGCGUCCUAUUAGUUAGUUGGUGAGGUAACGGCUCACCUAGGCAAUGAUAGGUAGGCGGCCUUAACGGGUGGUCGCCCACACUGGGAUUGAGAUACGGCCCAGACUCCUACGGGAGGCAGCAGUCGAGAAUAGUCUACAAUGGUCGGAAGACUGAUAGUGCGACGCCGCGUGAACGAUGAACCCCUUCGGGGUGUAAAGUUCUUUUAUAUGUGAGCAGUGCUUCUUAUAUUAACAGUAUGGGGAGAGAGAUAUUAGCAUAUGAAUAAGCAACGGCUAACUCCGUG
rnacentral:rRNA from 1 species